UACGGAGGAUGCAAGCGUUAUCCGGAAUGAUUGGGCGUAAAGCGUCCGCAGGUGGCUGUGUAAGUCUGCUGUUAAAGAGUCUAGCUCAACUAGAUACAAGCAGUGGAAACUACACGGCUAGAGUACGUUCGGGGCAGAGGGAAUUCCUGGGUGUAGCGGUGAAAUGCGUAGAUAUCAGGAAGAACACCGGUGCGAAAGCGCUCUGGCUAGGCCGCAACUGACACUGAGGGACGAAAGCU
rnacentral:rRNA from 1 species